GACGAACGCUGGCGGCGUGCUUAACACAUGCAAGUCGAACGGAGAAUUUUAUUUCGGUGAAAUUCUUAGUGGCGAACGGGUGAGUAACGCGUAGACAACCUACCUCUCAGAUGGGGACAACAUCGCGAAAGCGGUGCUAAUACCGAAUGAUGUAACUUUUCUGCAUGGAAGAGUUACCAAAGGCGGCCUCUAUUUAUAAGCUGUCACUGAGAGAUGGGUCUGCGUCUGACUAGCUAGUUGGCGGGGUAAUGGCCCACCAAGGCGACGAUCAGUAGCCGGUCGGAGAGGAUGAACGGCCACAUUGGGACUGAGACACGGCCCAAACUCCUACGGGAGGCAGCAGUGGGGAAUCUUCCGCAAUGGACGAAAGUCUGACGGAGCAACGCCGCGUGAGUGAAGGAGGUUUUCGGAUCGUAAAGCUCUGUUGUUUGAGACGAACGUGCAAUUUUUGAAUAAGGAAUUGUAAUGACGGUAUUAAACGAGAAAGCCACGGCUAACUACGUGCCAGCCGCCGCGGUAA
rnacentral:rRNA from 1 species